rnacentral:lncRNA from 1 species
GUCUGUUCCAGCCUCAGUGGUGUCGAGGAUAAUGGGAAGAGGAGGAUGCAACAUCACUGCAAUACAGGAUGUUACUGGUGCCCAUAUUGAUGUGGAUAAACAAAAAGAUAAGAAUGGCGAGAGAAUGAUCACAAUAAGGGGUGGCACAGAAUCAACAAGAUAUGCAGUUCAACUAAUCAAUGCACUCAUUCAAGAUCCUGCUAAGGAACUGGAAGACUUGAUUCCUAAAAAUCAUAUCAGAACACCUGCCAGCACCAAAUCAAUUCAUGCUAACUUCUCAUCUGGAGUAGGUACCACAGCAGCUUCCAGUAAAAAUGCAUUUCCUUUGGGUGCUCCAACUCUUGUAACUUCACAGGCAACAACGUUAUCUACGUUCCAGCCCGCUAAUAAACUUAAUAAGAAUGUUCCAACAAAUGUACGUUCUUCUUUCCCAGUUUCUCUACCCUUAGCUUAUCCUCACCCUCAUUUUGCCCUGCUGGCUGCUCAAACUAUGCAACAGAUUCGGCAUCCUCGCUUACCCAUGGCCCAGUUUGGAGGAACCUUCUCACCUUCUCCUAACACAUGGGGACCAUUCCCAGUGAGACCUGUGAAUCCUGGCAACACAAAUAGCUCUCCAAAGCAUAAUAACACAAGCCGUCUACCUAACCAGAACGGGACUGUUUUACCCUCAGAGUCUGCUGGACUAGCUACUGCCAGUUGUCCUAUCACUGUCUCUUCUGUAGUUGCUGCCAGUCAGCAACUGUGUGUCACUAAUACCCGGACUCCUUCAUCAGUCAGAAAGCAGUUGUUUGCCUGUGUGCCUAAGACAAGUCCUCCAGCAACAGUGAUUUCUUCUGUGACAAGCACUUGUAGUUCCCUGCCUUCUGUCUCCUCUGCACCUAUCACUAGCGGGCAAGCUCC